rnacentral:rRNA from 1 species
GACGAACGCUGGCGGCGUGCCUAACACAUGCAAGUCGAGCGGAGGUACAAUGAGAGCAAUCGAGAUGUACUUUAGCGGCGGACGGGUGAGUAACGCGUGAGCAACCUGCCUAUCACAGGGGGAUAAGGCGGCGAAAGCCGCUCUAAAUACCGCAUGAGACCCUCAAAGCGAUGCAAUGGGGGUGAAAGGAGCGAUCCGGUGAGAGAUGGGCUCGCGUCCGAUUAGGUAGUUGGUAGGUAAGGGCCUACCAAGCCAAUGAUCGGUAGCCGGCCUGAGAGGGUGAACGGCCACAUUGGAACUGAGAGACGGUCCAAACUCCUACGGGAGGCAGCAGUCGAGAAUAGUCUACAAUGGACGGAAGUCUGAUAGUGCGACGCCGCGUGAACGAAGAAUCCCUUCGGGGUGUAAAGUUCUUUUAUACGUUGAGCAGUGCCCUUUAUAUGAAUAGUAUAGAGGGAGGGAUUUAAGCGUAUGAAUAAGCAACGGCUAACUCCGUG